GCUGGGUGUGGUGGCGGGCGCCUGUAGUCCUAGCUACUCAGGAGGCUGAGGCAGGAGAAUGGCGUGAACCCGGGAGACGGAGCUUACAGUGAGCCGAGAUAGCACCACUGCACUCCAGCCUGGGUGACAGAGCGAGACUCCGUCUCAGGUGGGGGAAAAAAAAAAGAACUAUAAGGUAAUAACGUUUGUUUUUUUUUUUUUUUUUUUUUUGAGGUGGAGUCUUGCUCUGUCACCCAGGCUGGAGUGCAGUGGCGCUAUCUCAGCUCACUGUAAGCUCCGUCUCCCGGGUUCACGCCAUUCUCCUGCCUCAG
ensembl:misc_RNA Metazoa_SRP Metazoan signal recognition particle RNA